rnacentral:lncRNA from 1 species
UGUAAAAAUAGCCAUAAAUUUAAAAAACUGUUCAGAAUUACUAACAUUGCAUGUAGAUAUGAUUACAGAUAUGGGACUAUUAUUUUGAACAUCUUCUUUGUUGGUGAUUUCUCUCAUGUUGAUAAUGUAAUUUGAAGGCUUAAAAUGCAUAUGUUUAGAUAUACUCGUCAGGGGUAAGUUAUUAGUGAAACAGGUGGUUGUUCUAAUGAGGAUUUAAUACCAAACUAACUCUUGCUCUAAGAUGUGUUAUACACUUUCCUGAUCAAACUGAUGUGGAAAAAAAAGUGACAGAUAACUAAAACUUCCUGAUAAUGAAUGAAAAGACAUCUGACAUAAUAAAUUCUCAAGGAUUUUUACUGAAACAUAACUCCUGGGUGUGUCUCAUAAACAGUAGCCUUCUUUAAUGUAUUCAACAAUCCCCACUGACCUUUGUUCAAAAUGCUCUGGGUAUAAUCCAUUAAAGCAUGAGUGUUUGUUAUCUAAAUUGGUAUCUAAGGGGAAGCAAUGCAAUGUCAAUGUAAAAUAAAUUUCUUUCUCUCCUCUUUGCCAUAAUCAUGAUGUAUGCUUUUUUUCAGAAUUGAAAACACUUUUCACAGUAUAGUCAUCUAUAGUGUGUAAAACCAUCUUUACAAAACCCAUAUAUACAGAAAAAUCUCAGUCUUCAAUUUGAAGGUUCUUUGCCGUGCUAACAUAUGUUGUAGAGAAUGACCACAUAGUAAUUGUCUAGUCUUUUCUCCUAACCCCAAUAGAUUUGAAUGACUUUCAUCGUAAUGAAGGCUUCUGCAGAGUAAUUGAUUUUGACCAUGAGUACCUGUUGAAGUCACAGCAACUUCUCCUUCUAGAUUAUCUUACAGCAGUGGACCAGACAGCAGUGCUCAAGAGAGAAUGCUAUCAAACAAAAAGUGGUUCAAUACUGGCAUCCUGUGGCUGGAGAGAUUUAUCAAAUCUCUGAAAAUCUCAGCUCCUUGGAUUCUGAACAUUCCCUGGCUGUCAGUUCUCAGCAGCCUUUCGCCAUUUUCUGAGUGCUAUUUGGUUACCUCUCAUUUUUCAUGGAAACAACCUAGUGAAGAACUCCAUAAAAGAAGAGAAGACAGAGAGACCUGUAGGGAGAUGUAAGAAAUGAACAGACAAAGAUUAAAAGACUGCAGGGUUAAAGGAAGCUCAUGGAAAAAUGUGCAGAGAUGCAUAAAGGAAGGAGAAAAGUGCAGCAAAGCCACAUAGAAAAAUGGCCAGAAGGGUCACUCUUAGCCACCACCAUACAGAAAAAUGAACUAAAAUGAAAACUCACAACUCAGGAAUAUGGAAUAAUAAGCAAUCAGAAACAUAAAUAUAAGCAGUUUUAUCUAUUCAUUAUUUUUAUUCUACUAUUAGAAUAAAUUCAUGACUAAAUAAAAUUAUUCAGCAAAAUGUAGCUUGAGAGUAAAUUUUCAUUUGCUUGCAUUUCAUACACACAAAAAAUUUGCAUUGUCUGCAUCUCAUUUUUUCUCAUUUUCUAAAGACUUAGAGUGUGUC